rnacentral:lncRNA from 1 species
UUGGUUUGUAGUUCAUUGCUUAAUGAAGCUUUCAUGGUAGGAUUAUGUAAAUGAAAGCUUUCAUUGUUAGUGUUUCUUCAGUAGUCCCUGUUUUAAGAUUUGCAAACUUUAUUUACACUCUGAGUACAGUAGGAAUAAAUAAUCGACUACGGUAAAUACACAUUCUAUAAUCGACUAUGUCACGGGUGAAUUAUAGAAUGAAAUCAGUACUCAUGAUCCUGUAUAUUGAGAGAUUAUCGAAUUAUAAACGAGUCUAUUAGUGACCACUCAUAUAGUCUAUGAUCAACUUACUGAAUAUAUUGACGGCUUAAAAUAAUGGGAAAAAAGGAGAAAUUAAAUUAAAUUAA